rnacentral:rRNA from 1 species
GACAGAGGGUGCAAACGUUGUUCGGAAUUACUGGGCGUAAAGCGUGCGCAGGCGGUUCUCCAAGUCCGUUGUGAAAGCCCCGGGCUCAACCUGGGGAUGGCAGUGGAAACUAGGGGACUGGAAUCUGGCAGAGGGGGGUGGAAUGCCGCGUGUAGCAGUGAAAUGCGUAGAGAUGCGGCGGAACACCGAUGGCGAAGGCAGCCCCCUGGGCUGAGAUUGACGCUCAGGCACGAAAGCGUGGGGAGCAAACAGG